AGAACUCCUACCUUGUAACCGACUAGUAAUCCCGCACCCUGAGUAUAUAAAGGAGGGCAGGGGUUCCUAGAUUGGUAGGCAAAGACCUCAUAGAACCAUAAUAGAGGACCAAAUCCUCAACACUAGACAACACCCAAGCGCAGGGUGCAAUUUACAACACUCCAAACAGGACGUAGGAUAUUACGCUACUCUGACGACCCGAACCUGUAUAAAUAUGUGUCUUGUAUCCUCGCUUUUACCAUCAAGUUCCAGAUCCGGCGAUCCCCCACCAAUCAAUCUACUAUCUCGGGAUACCCUCGGUAGGUUGCCGAGUAUAAAACACCGACACCAUCUAACCAGCAACAACUUAAAAAUUAUAAUCUUAACAAGGAGGGAGAGGGGGAGGUACCAAUCAAAUCAGAAAAAGGGCGCCAAACAAAUUAGGCAAUCGAUUGACAAAGUCAACAUGUGAAUCUAGGUAAUCACCCAUUCCAACCCCAACUAACGAUACACUAGCAACCAACAGGAAUUCUUGCUCAUCUAAGGGCACACGAAUCAUAAGACAGUGACAAAAAAAGACAAGUCACAACUCAUCGAGCAAUAGAUAUCAGACAGUUAAAGUUCUAGAUCUGAUAAGAAGAAUAUAAAUGCAGCUAAGAAGAUUCCUAAGGUUUCC
rnacentral:lncRNA from 1 species